UUCAUUCCAGAAAGUGGAUGUUUGGCCAUUUCACAUGCUACAGCGAUGUCCCAUAGAGGAUGAGAAUUGAGGAAUGGCUUUUGGAUUGGACAACUGGUGACCUUUAAAGAAAGUCAUCUUAGUAGGUGGAGAGGGUGCAAUUCAGAUCUCAGAGUGUGGAGAUGUUGAGUAGGAGGUGAGGACCGAGAGACAAGGAGCACAGGACCCCUCACAAGAAAUGUAUUUAUGAGAGGAAGCAAUGGCCUGACGUUUGAGGAGUGACUGGGUUUUUACUUCGUGGAAGACAGAGAGAGUGAGAGAGAGGCAGAGACACAGGCAGAGGGAGAAGCAGGCUCCAUACAGGAAGCCCGACGUGGGACUCGAUCCAGGGUCUCCAGGAUCACACCCCAGGCUGCAGGAGGCACUAAACCGCUGCACCACCGGGGCUGCCUAUGAUUGAGUUUUGAAGGAGAUUGUGACUGAAGGAAUGAGAAGAGAAGAAACAAAGGAGAGGGGGUCUUCAAGCCCCACUUUUUGUCUAACUGUAAUAAAAUAUGCAUGUACAUUUAAAAAUUAAAGCUAUAUUUACUAUU